UGAACAGCUCCUUGGCUGCCUUUCCCCAUUCACCCAUCACAUGCUUAAUGUGCAUCCAAAAGUCUGCAGCGCAUCUCACUGUUUCCAUUUCUUGUAAUCCUCGCAUUACACUGGCCUCUUGUACACCUGAAAACUACAUUCAACUCAUCUUCCCGUGAUCCCGCAUUUCCCACUCACUUCCUAAAUCUAUGUUCUUGAACCCACUUGAACCUCAAACUUCGUAAAGCCAAGUCUAGCAAAGAGUUUAGGCGGAGGGAGAGGACAUUGUCACUGAAGCUAGUUCAGGGCAGGAGCAGACGCGCCAGCCCUAAACCAACAGACGGA
rnacentral:lncRNA from 1 species